rnacentral:rRNA from 1 species
UACAGCCAUACCACCCUGAACAACCCCAAUCUUGUCUGAUCUUGGAAGCAAAGUAGGGUCAGGCCUGGUUAGUACUCCGAUGGGAAAAAGUUCACGGAGAAACAGAAU